GUGGGGAAUCUUGCGCAAUGGGUGAAAGCCUGACGCAGCCAUGCCGCGUGAAUGAUGAAGGUCUUAGGAUUGUAAAAUUCUUUCACCGGGGACGAUAAUGACGGUACCCGGAGAAGAAGCUCCGGCUAACUUCGUGCCAGCAGCCGCGGUAAUACGAAGGGGGCUAGCGUUGCUCGGAAUUACUGGGCGUAAAGGGCGCGUAGGCGGACAGCUUAGUCAGAGGUGAAAGCCCAGGGCUCAACCUUGGAAUUGCCUUGUAUACUGGCUGUCUUGAGUUUGGUAGAGGUGAGUGGAACUCCGAGUGUAGAGGUGAAAUUCGUAGAUAUUCGGAAGAACACCAGUGGCGAAGGCGACUCACUGGCCCAAUACUGACGCUGAGGCGCGAAAGCGUGGGGAGCAAACAGGAUUAGAUACCCCUGUAGUCC
rnacentral:rRNA from 1 species